rnacentral:rRNA from 1 species
UACGAAGGGGGCUAGCGUUGCUCGGAAUCACUGGGCGUAAAGGGUGCGUAGGCGGUCGGGUAAGUCUGAUGUGAAAUCUCACAGCUUAACUGUGAAACUGCAUUGGAUACUAUCCGGCUCGAGGAAUGGAGGGGAGACUGGAAUACUUGGUGUAGCAGUGAAAUGCGUAGAUAUCGGGAGGAACACCAGUGGCGAAGGCGACUACCUGGCCUGUUCUUGACGCUGAGGCGCGAAAGCUAGGGGAGCAAACGGG